AAGUCGUAACAAGGUUUCCGUAGGUGAACCUGCGGAAGGAUCAUUACUGAGUUUUGAACGGGUUGUAGCUGGCCUUGUAACAAAGGCAUGUGCACGCCUGGCUCAUCCACUCUUAACCCCUGUGCACCACAUGUAGGAACGAACGGCGAAAGUCUUAGUUCUUAUGUUUGUUACAAACGCUUCAGUUUUAGAAUGUUUACUGUGUAUAACACAAAUAUACAACUUUCAGCAACGGAUCUCUUGGCUCUC
rnacentral:misc_RNA from 1 species